rnacentral:rRNA from 1 species
UACGAGGGGGGCGAGCGUUGUUCGGAAUUAUUGGGCGUAAAGGGUGCGUAGGCGGUCGGCUAUGUCGGAUGUGAAAGCCUCGGGCUUAACCCGAGAAGGGCAUCCGAAACUGGCCGGCUUGAGUAUGGAAGAGGGUCUCGGAAUUCCCGGUGUAGAGGUGAAAUUCGUAGAUAUCGGGAGGAACACCAGUGGCGAAGGCGGAGACCUGGGCCAAUACUGACGCUGAGGUGCGAAAGCGUGGGGAGCAAACAGG